rnacentral:rRNA from 1 species
UACCGCCCUAGUUCUGACCGUAAACGAUGCCAACUAGCGAUCCGCCGGUGGAAUUUUUGCCCUGGUGGGGAGCUUCCCGGAAACGAAAGUCUUCCGGUUCCGGGGGAAGUAUGGUUGCAAAGCUGAAACUUAAAGGAAUUGACGGAAGGGCACCACCAGGAGUGGAGCCUGCGGCUUAAUUUGACUCAACACGGGGAAACUCACCCGGCCCGGACACCGUGAGGAUUGACGGAUUGAUAGCUUCUUCAUGAUUCGGUGGAUGGUGGUGCAUGGCCGUUCUUAGUUCGUGGAGCGAUUUGUCUGGUUUAUUCCGAUAACGAGCGAGACUCUAGCCUACUAAAUAGUCCACACGUUGCCUCUGUGUGCGCGACUUCUUAGAGGGAAUAUCGGUGUUCAGCCGCAAGAAUGGAGCAAUAACAGGUCUGUGAUGCCCUUAGAUGUCCGGGGCUGCACGCGCGCUACACUGGCAAAAUCAGCGUGCUUGUCCUUCCCCGAAAGGGGUUGGUAAACCCUUGAAAAUUUGCCGUGAUUGGGAUCGGAAAUUGCAAUUAUUUUCCGUGAACGAGGAAUUCCAAGUAAGUGCGAGUCAUCAACUCGCGUUGAUUACGUCCCU